UACAGAGGGGGCAAGCGUUGUUCGGAAUUACUGGGCGUAAAGGGCGCGUAGGUGGCCUUCUAAGUUGAACGUGAAAUCCCUGGGCUCAACCCAGGAACUGCGUCCAAGACUGGGAGGCUUGAAUCCGGGAGAGGGAUGCGGAAUUCCAGGUGUAGCGGUGAAAUGCGUAGAUAUCUGAAGGAACAUCAGUGGCGAAAGCGACUUCCUGGACCAAUACUGACGCUCAUGUGCGAAAGCGUGGGGAGCAAACAGG
rnacentral:rRNA from 1 species